rnacentral:rRNA from 1 species
UAGGGAAUCUUCCACAAUGGGCGCAAGCCUGAUGGAGCAACGCCGCGUGAGUGAAGAAGGUCUUCGGAUCGUAAAACUCUGUUGUUAGAGAAGAACACGAGUGAGAGUAACUGUUCAUUCGAUGACGGUAUUUAACCAGAAAGUCACGGCUAACUACGUGCCAG